rnacentral:rRNA from 1 species
CUCUGCGCAAGGGAUCUUUUGGUUCGCUAGACGAAGAAGGGCGCAGCGGAAUGCGAAAUGUGCAGGAGUCGCAGCGAAGACAGCACAUGCCUGAAAUCACGAGAGUGAGACUACCCCUUUGAAUUAAGCAUAUGAGUAAAGGGAGGAAAAAAAACUAACAAGGAUUCCUGUAGUAGCGGCGAGCG